GGCGGACGGGUGAGUAAUGCCUAGGAAUCUGCCUGGUAGUGGGGGAUAACGUCCGGAAACGGGCGCUAAUACCGCAUACGUCCUGAGGGAGAAAGUGGGGGAUCUCUCGGACCUCACGCUAUCAGAUGAGCCUAGGUCGGAUUAGCUAGUUGGUGGGGUAAAGGCCUACCAAGGCGACGAUCCGUAACUGGUCUGAGAGGAUGAUCAGUCACACUGGAACUGAGACACGGUCCAGGCUCCUACGGGAGGCAGCAGUGGGGAAUAUUGGACAAUGGGCGAAAGCCUGAUCCAGCCAUGCCGCGUGUGUGAAGAAGGUCUUCGGAUUGUAAAGCACUUUAAGUUGGGAGGAAGGGCAGUAAGUUAAUACCUUGCUGUUUUGACGUUACCAACAGAAUAAGCACCGGCUAACUUCGUGCCAGCAG
rnacentral:rRNA from 1 species